rnacentral:rRNA from 1 species
CCUACGGGAGGCAGCAGUGGGGAAUUUUGGACAAUGGGCGAAAGCCUGAUCCAGCCAUGCCGCGUGCAGGAUGAAGGCCUUCGGGUUGUAAACUGCUUUUGUACGGAACGAAAAGGUCUUUUCUAAUAAAGAAGGCUCAUGGCGGUACCGUAAGAAUAAGCACCGGCUAACUACGUGCCAGCAGCCGCGGUAAUACGUAGGGUGCAAGCGUUAAUCGGAAUUACUGGGCGUAAAGCGUGCGCAGGCGGUUAUAUAAGACAGUUGUGAAAUCCCCGGGCUCAACCUGGGAACUGCAUCUGUGACUGUAUAGCUAGAGUACGGUAGAGGGGGAUGGAAUUCCGCGUGUAGCAGUGAAAUGCGUAGAUAUGCGGAGGAACACCGAUGGCGAAGGCAAUCCCCUGGACCUGUACUGACGCUCAUGCACGAAAGCGUGGGGAGCAAACAGGAUUAGAUACCCUGGUAGUCCACGCCCUAAACGAUGUCAACUGGUUGUUGGGUCUUCACUGACUCAGUAACGAAGCUAACGCGUGAAGUUGACCGCCUGGGGAGUACGGCCGCAAGGUUGAACUUAAGGAAUUGACGGCUGAGACCGNGCGAGACGACGACGAGGAGAGG